rnacentral:lncRNA from 1 species
GAGGUCCCCAAGUGGAAUCCACCAAUUUUGAUGAGGCUUAAUAGGGUUGUAGAGUGUGUCUUCCUGAAUAUAGUGAUGCCCUCUUUUGCCGGCAGACGGUCAACCAUUUUCGGGAUAUUGCGGGUCAAAGUUUUGGGUGAGUGUUUAACUGCAGUUUGGAGUCGCUGUACUGAACGGGUUGUCAUGGUCUUGUGGAUGUGCGCUUUGUUGCGUUGGUUUGGCCUGGGUUCGGGUUGCGCUGCCGUUGUGUAUAAAAUUUUUUCUUUCGUUUUUUUAUUUAUUCAUGGCAUAUUUUAUUGUAAUGAGG